UACGUAGGGUGCGAGCGUUGUCCGGAAUUAUUGGGCGUAAAGAGCUCGUAGGCGGUUUGUCGCGUCGACUGUGAAAACUGGGGGCUUAACUCUCAGCUUGCAGUUGAUACGGGCAGACUUGAGUUCGGUAGGGGAGACUGGAAUUCCUGGUGUAGAGGUGAAAUGCGUAGAUAUCGGGAGGAACACCAGUGGCGAAGGCGACUACCUGGCCUGUUCUUGACGCUGAGGCGCGAAAGCUAGGGGAGCAAACGGG
rnacentral:rRNA from 1 species